UGGCACAAACCAUCAUUGGCGCUCAUCUCUAGAAUAAUAUUUAAAAACAACAUUUACAUUUUUGGAAGGAUCAUGGUAACCAAGCAGUCCAAGCUAUCCAAUGACCAGUUUCACAGAAAUUAUCAGAAAAAAAAUCUGAGCGCAUAAUAAUUAAACAGCUUAAAAUUGCCGAAACAAUUUGAAUGUCAUAUUUUCAAAAAACGUUCGCGAAACUACGUUUUCUGUAUCGACAUUGACAAACGGAACGAAUCCACACUGCGCUACUCGUUUAGAAAGGGACCGGGUUACCAGAGCUGCGUAUCCUCGUCGGCGGUAUCUUGUAACGUGUGAAGUCGACUCAUUCCAUUGGGCGGAUGGCUCAUCAUCCAAGACACCAGUUUAUCG